CUUAGCUCCGCGGCAACUGUGAUCAAGGAGCCACGGCAACUACAAUUGACUCCUGCGCCACUGACCCGAGGUGAUCGCCGGCGCACUGAGGCUCCUGCGCCGGCGGUCUCUGCCUCCGUCGUUGGCCCGAGGCGAUCGCUGAUCGCCGUCGCCGCAAGGCUCCUGCGCCGGCACCCUAAGGCUCCUGCGCCGGUGGUCUCUGCCUCCUUCCGAUCUCCUGCGCCUCAAAUCCGACAUAUUUGGCUGCAACACGACGCGGGUAACUGGUAAAACGGAACCCCCGCUACCUCCUCGCUCUGUUCCCCCACUCCUCGAGCCCUCCUAUGCCCUACAUCGCAGGCGAUUUAGCUGCACUCUGCCGCCGGCUACCAUGGCCUGCGAAGAACGAUCCCUGGAGGUAUCUUUAAUUCUCGUGGUUCUGGUUGUAUUGUAUCUUGGCGGACAUGCUUUUACAAAACGAUGGAGCACAGCCAUGAUCAGGGUGUUGUCAGUUAUCUCAAGGGAAAUGGAAUGCAAAACGGUAUGCAGUCCCAUGUUCAGAUUUCUAGCAGAAUGAUGCUUAGCUUAGUGAGCAUCUGCUAUAGUUUCUUUUUAUUAAAUCAGUGCAAUUCACUUCUCUUCCCUGCAAGAUUGUGACCUUUUUAUACAGACAUAUCUUCCAGUUAGCAUAACAUAAGUGAUGACUGAAUAUUGGAGUGGUAGUAUACACCUAAAUUGGUUUUGGUCUAACCUCAAGCCUGGUUCCGUUAGAAUGUUCAGCUGGUCCUUAAUGUAAAUAUUUGGCCAUUUUGCAAAGUUAAAACUUAUCGUAAGCCUGCUGAAAUAUGACUGGAUUGUAAAAAAAAAUGAACCAGUGAAUAUGAGGGCAACUGUAUGGCACGGUGACAAAGUUUUGAGCCAGUCACUUGCGAGAUGAUAAUAUCACAAUAUCCAGGUUCACAGCAUGGGCAGAUUUACAUUCUGAUUUUUUAAUGUAUUUGCUACGCUGACAGUUUCCCUUCUUGUAGAUUCACUAUAUAUUUGUUCAUUUUUCAUAUUAAGUUGGUUUUUAUUUUAUUUGAUCAUAAUUUCAGCCUCGGUUUGUAUAAAUUUUGUGAUAUUUGACACUCUGUUUGCCCAGACCCUAAAUGUUUCCUAAUAUGAAUUUAGGCAAGGUGAAAGGCGUGCCAAGGGAACCAUUCGGUGAUUUGACGAACAUACCCGCGUCGGUUAAGCGGAAAAGGGACCGACGGUCUGCUUCAUUAACUUAGGUGCAGAAAAACGAACACUCACUGCAGGACUAUUGAUCUUACUGGUAUGAACCUCAAUUUAUGGCCCCGUAGCUGCACGAGACUAGAAAUAAGGUUCAUGUGUGGAUUAUAGCUAUUUUCGCCAGCAUCUUGGAGUCAACAAGGGUGGAAAACGCACGCUAGAUGUUAUCUUUAAUCUUUAAGCCUAUUAAUAUCACAAUUUAGAGGAACCUUUCCAUCUGCAUGAGCUAUCGUGUGAAAGCAUAUAUUAAGUUACUUGAUUUUAUGGGAUGACAAUUUUCAAAAUUACAAGAUGUCCAACUAGCAACGUACUCAGAAGUGUUAUUACUCUGUUCUUCAUGAGAUUCUACUCAUGCUGUAGUUACUCUCACUGUAUUCCAAGGCCAGAGGCCCAGAGUACGUGCAGAUGUGCCUAUUAUUUUCUUUCUUGUGCAUAACUCUUGAGUUAUAUCGGUCUAUAACUAUAUAUGUUCAGCAAUUGGAGGACAAUGACCUGUUCAAAUAUAGGCUAUGAAGCUUGGCAUGAACUAUUCCUGAAAUGAUUUUCUUCUCUCCAAAAAUAUUGAGAUGACAUAGGUUUGGUUAUGCUAUACUCAAAAUUAUUUUUAUAAAUAUUUAAUAGAAUUAUCUGGAAAAUAUCAUUCUCUUGUAGGAUAUAUGUCACCUGAUUUUGUGUUUUCAUAAAUGUUGUCGAGAUAUCAAUAAUGCCAUCAAAAAGGCCUUUGAGCUAUCAUCAUAAAUUGUUGCAAGAAGGCCUCAGUUCAAGAAUUCAGAUUAUCUAUACGGAGUUUGCUGAUUUCUAUUUUUGUAAUCUUCAUCUGUUCCAUCACUUUGUUUUUUCAUUCGCAGAAGCAACAAAAUGUGUCUCACUGGUGGUGGUAUGGUGGCACACCAGGAGCGGCGGCGCGUGGGGCAGAUGGCGAUGGCUGGUAGUGACGGCUCCAUGAUGACAAGGAGCGCUGCCGCAGCCACACCAAUGAGUGGCAGGAGAGGUGCGAGGAAGGAGUGGACCUUGGACGGCGAGGAGUCUGACAAGGACGCGAAAGAUUUGGGCACCAUGGACGUUGAUUUGAAGGACUGGGUAAUGGUACUGAUGGAUCGCGGCCAAUGAUUCUUAAUCUGGUUCAUUUCAUCACAGAUAUUAUAUUUCACUAAAGCUUUACUCCAUAGCAUUAAUUAACGUAAAUGACGCCAUAAAGGCAGAUCCCGUGACUGGUAUUGGUGGCAGAGAGCCAAGAGUGAGGGCACGUUGCCAUAAUAUCUCCCAUAACGUUGAUGAUCUAAUACAUAUUUCAUUAAUUCAAAUUGUAAUUGAAUAUUUUUAAAGGAAUUUUGGAAACUACUUCCUGCUAACA